rnacentral:rRNA from 1 species
GUGGGGAAUAUUGGACAAUGGGCGAAAGCCUGAUCCAGCCAUGCCGCGUGUGUGAAGAAGGUCUUCGGAUUGUAAAGCACUUUAAGUUGGGAGGAAGGGCAUUAACCUAAUACGUUAGUGUUUUGACGUUACCGACAGAAUAAGCACCGGCUAACUUCGUGUCAGCAGCCGCGGUAAUACGAAGGGUGCAAGCGUUAAUCGGAAUUACUGGGCGUAAAGCGCGCGUAGGUGGUUCGUUAAGUUGGAUGUGAAAGCCCCGGGCUCAACCUGGGAACUGCAUCCAAAACUGGCGAGCUAGAGUACGGUAGAGGGUGGUGGAAUUUCCUGUGUAGCGGUGAAAUGCGUAGAUAUAGGAAGGAACACCAGUGGCGAAGGCGACCACCUGGACUGAUACUGACACUGAGGUGCGAAAGCGUGGGGAGCAAACAGGAUUAGAAACCCUGGUAGUCC